AAAAAUAAAAAAACCAACAGAACAGACGUCCUCAUAAUCAAACCUCCUCUAAUUAUAUUGCCACAUUCAAUAAGGAAUUCCAAAGAUCUUCCUCAUUAUUUUUCUCUUCUCAAAACGUCAGUCAAGUGCCGAUUCCAUCCCACCCCUGUUAAGUUGUGUUCCAGCCUCUUGAGUUUUCAUUUUCCUUUCAUGCUCCCCAGAUACUAUAAACUCGAUCUAGGUUGUUUUGUUUGUUGCAGGAGGCAAGGUUAAGCAGGUGAACGACCAGGUCUCGGUGGUCUGCAAGGGAGGUGAUGAUGGUGGUUGUUUUGCUUCUUCAAUUCAAAAUACACAAUAAAGACAAGAUUCUAUUCUUUUAUUGAUUAUAAUCGUGCCUUCAAAGACACUCUCAAUUGGGCUGUCUGAUCUUCUUAGUUGUGUUUGAUGAUUCUGGAGUGGAGCCAUUUUGUUUUGCCUUUUGAUAUCUGUUGCUGCAUCAGUUAAAGCCAACCGAUACUACACACAUCCAGGAAUGAGGCCUACACGGUUUACGGGCAGCCAAUUAUCAUGCCUUUUGGCCAUACAAUUGAACAUGAAGAGAUGCUUGAAGUUGUAAUAUUUGAAGGUCAAGCACUUGGACAAGAGGAUUCUUUUAUGUCACGUGGCAUUCAUCUCUUGUAACAUUUAGGAGCGGAUUUCUUAAGCUCGGGCUCGGUGGUUGUUAUUGAAAGAUCUUUGACAACAUCAACAUGCCAUUUUGUGUUUUCUUUAAAGAUAAAUAACUAGAACUCACUAUCUUUCCCUUGGAGGUGUUGAUUUAGAUGUGUAUCAAUACGUUAUAUAUUAAAUUGAUUCUCCAGAAUUUGCAUCAA